UACGGAGGGUGCAAGCGUUAAUCGGAAUUACUGGGCGUAAAGCGUGCGUAGGCGGUUCGUUAAGUCUGUUGUGAAAGCCCCGGGCUCAACCUGGGAAUGGCAAUGGAUACUGGCGAGCUAGAGUGUGUCAGAGGAUGGUGGAAGUUCCCGGUGUAGCGGUGAAAUGCGUAGAGACGGGAGGAACAUCAGUGGCGAAGGCGGCCAUCUGGGACGUUACUGACGCUGAGACGCGAAAGCGUGGGGAGCAAACAGG
rnacentral:rRNA from 1 species